rnacentral:rRNA from 1 species
AGUGAACGCUGGCGGUAGGCCUAACACAUGCAAGUCGAACGGCAGCACAGUAAGAGCUUGCUCUUACGGGUGGCGAGUGGCGGACGGGUGAGGAAUACAUCGGAAUCUACUUUGUCGGGGGGGAUAACGUAGGGAAACUUACGCUAAUACCGCAUACGACCUACGGGUUAAAGCAGGGGAUCUUCUGACCUUGCGCGAUUGAAUGAGCCGAUGUCGGAUUAGCUAGUUGGCGGGGUAAAGGCCCACCAAGGCGACGAUCCGUAGCGGGUCUGAGAGGAUGAUCGGCCACACUGGAACUGAGACACGGUCCAGACUCCUACGGGAGGCAGCAGUGGGGAAUAUUGGACAAUGGGCGCAAGCCUGAUCCAGCAAUACCGCGUGGGUGAAGAAGGCCUUCGGGUUGUAAAGCCCUUUUGUUGGGAAAGAAAAGCAGCAGGUUAAUACCCCGCUGUUCUGACGGUACCCAAAGAAUAAGCACCGGCUAACUUCGUG